UACGAAGGGUGCAAGCGUUACUCGGAAUUACUGGGCGUAAAGCGUGCGUAGGGGGUUCGUUAAGUCUGAUGUGAAAGCCCUGGGCUCAACCUGGGAAUGGCAUUGGAUACUGGCGAUCUAGAGUGCGGUAGAGGGCAGUGGAAUUCCCGGUGUAGCAGUGAAAUGCGUAGAGAUCGGGAGGAACAUCUGUGGCGAAGGCGACUGCCUGGACUGGUCCUGACACUCAUGAGCGAAAGCGUGGGGAGCGAUCCGG
rnacentral:rRNA from 1 species